rnacentral:lncRNA from 1 species
CCUGAUGCCUAUUAUAUUAUUGCGGUUGGGAAAAGGGAUUCCAUGUAGGCCAUGAUCCAGCCAUUGGUGGUAUUCUUGGGGCAUCAACCUCAUCAUUAGAAUCCCCAUAAGAGGAACCCAUCCAUCAAUCAUCGACAGCUUUCCACAGAGAAGGGAUCAGCUGAGUGGAUGUCUUUAUCCAAAAGCAUCGCACCCAAUGGCCAAAGUGCCACCUGGCC